UGGUGUAAUGGUAACACACUUGUUGCAAAAACAAGGAGCUGUGGGUUCAAGUCCCAU
rnacentral:tRNA from 1 species